rnacentral:rRNA from 1 species
AACGAACGCUGGCGGCAUGCCUAACACAUGCAAGUCGAACGAGACCUUCGUGCUUAGUGGCUCACGGGUGCGUAACGCGUUGGAACCUGCCCUUAUGUUCGGAAUAACUCCCCGAAAUGGGUCCUAAUACCUGGUUCUGUCUCCGGACCAAAGAUUUAUCUCCUUUGGUUGUGGCCGCGUUGUUUUAGUUAGGUGUUAGGGUAAAAGCUUGCCAAGUCGUCGAUCCAUAGCUGGUCUGAGAGGCUGAUCAGCCACACUGGGACUGAGACAAGGCCCAGACGCCUACGAGAAGCAGCAGUGAGGAAUAUAGGACAGUAGGCGAGAGGCUGAUCCAGCAAGGGCGCGAGAGUGAUGAAGGCCUUAGAGUUGUAAAGCGCUAUUACCGGGGAUGAUAAUGACGGUACCGGGAGAAUAAGCACCGGCUAACUCCGUG